UUUUCUUUCUUUCACCCUACUUCUAUUCUUUUUUAUCUUUCACCUUAUUUUGAAUUUCCCAGGGUCUUCUUCCAAAAUUUAAACUAAUCUCUUUAUAAUAUAUCCCUUAUUCCGUUUUUUUUGCCCGUCCCUUUUCCGUUGGUUUAUUUUUUCCCGGUCGGACAAUAACCAUUAAUCAACUUGGGUACUCCAAAUCUGUAUCUUGAAAAUAUGAUACACUAUUAUCUCUCACGCUUUCAUAUGAAGGUUUUUUCAACUUCCAUCAUGUUUUCAAUAUGGAUAACGACAACGGAGCAAAAGAUACCACGACACAAAUAGACAGGCAGAUAGCAUUUGGUGGAAGCUAAGGCCUGAGCCCUGUCCUAAUAAGGCGGAACAUGCCUUGAUCUGCCCAAAGUCUGACCCGAACACAGCUAAGCCCAGCCGGUCUAGAGGUGAUUAUGGCACUCAGUUUCUACAUCAUAAGUCUUUUAUGAUAUAUUAGCAUAUAUGAAUGUUAUAUUAUUCCUAAGCAUAUUUGAAAACUGUGUAUAUGUGUAUGAAUUAUAAAAAUAUAUUACUCAUUUUUUGCA